rnacentral:tRNA from 1 species
AGUUAGAAGGUGUAAGAGCACGUCAAGUUGCAAGCUUGAAGGGGAAAUCUCUAAUUA